rnacentral:lncRNA from 1 species
UUCUAUCUAAAUUGAUUGUUAUUUACCUUGCAUUUGUAUUUUACUUAUUGUUCAUCUUUCUAACUGAGUUUUUGUUUUUAGGAUUUGUGCCUAUUACCGGUGAAAGUAAACUUGUAGCAGUUAAAGGACCAGUACCAUGCCAGAUUUCUCUAAAUUGUGAAAAAGCUACGUUACCUGUUGCAUUCACCUCUCCUGCAACUCACUUUAAGCCCAUUAUUCUGCAACAAAAUGCAAAUAUAACCAAAGAGGUUCACACAACGAUUUCUGAGCAAUUCAAGAAAGACACAAGAAAAGAAAAACAAGUAGACGACAACAAAUCAGGAUAUAUAGAAGACUCUAAAAACUGUGGUACUGAGGACACCAAUGUUAUUGAAACUGCACCUGAAAUACCUGAGCGUGAAGUUCCAGGCCACUCAUCCCAGAUAUCUUCAGAAGACCAAAAGUCAGGCAAUGCAUUUACUUCUACAGUUCCGUUAGCAUCACCGUCUGAUUCCUCACAUAUUCUACAGGGAAGGAGCAUUUUAUCUGAAGUUCCUUCCAACUCCUUAGCUUGUCCUACAUCUCCUAAUUUUCUUCAUAUAAAUAACAUCAUUCUCAAACAGGACUCGGAGAAAAGAGUUUUGACAUUUGUACCAGUACAUUUAGCUGUAUCAGAGCAAAUACCAAAUAAACCUCUUCGUUCAAGAAUUGCUUAUGAUUGCCAUCAUAGUUUGCCAGUGCUACUUUCAAGUACUAUUGCAAGUUAUAAAAUGAGCACACAAACAGAAAAUGAUGCCUCCUUUUGCAAAGUGCAAAAUUGUGAGACUACUAAUAUGCAGAACAAGUUUGAUAAAAGUAACCUGGUUUAUCAAACCAACUGCCAAGAAAUUGAGUACGCUACCAGUGUAGACAGUAUUUUCACUGAACAAGAACACGAGCCAUGUACCUCAGUAAAUCAAGACUAUUCUCAUGUCUUUGAUGCUGAAGUCCUGCCCCAGCAGAACAGAGCAAGUGAUGCUUUACUACAGGAAGUGGUUCAUCUUAUACAAGAGGAGUUUGCAUUUGAUGGCUAUCUAGAGAAUGGAGUUGAAGUUUUUGAUAUGGGUAUGUACAUUUUCUUCUGUAUAUUAUUAUCACUGAUGUGUAAGAAUAUUGUUAUCAAUGCCUUUUUUCUCUCUUUUUUGUUUGUUUCUUUUUUUUAA